rnacentral:rRNA from 1 species
UACGUAGAGAGCAAGCGUUGUCCGGAAUCAUUGGGCGUAAAGGGUACGCAGGCGGUCUAUUAAGUCAGAGGUGAAAUCCAACAGCUCAACUGUUGAACUGCCUUUGAUACUGGUAGACUUGAGGAUAAGAGAAGAAAACGGAAUUCCUAGUGUAGCGGUGAAAUGCGUAGAUAUUAGGAAGAAUACCAAUGGCGAAAGCAGUUUUCUAACUUACUCCUGACGCUCAGGUACGAAAGCUAGGGUAGCAAACGGGAUUAGAUACCCCGGUAGUCCUAGUCGUAAACGAUGGAUACUAGGUGUUGGGGGUUCGACCCCCUCGGCGCCGCAGUUAACGCAUUAAGUAUCCCGCCUGGGGAGUACGACCGCAAGGUUGAA